UACGAAGGGUGCAAGCGUUACUCGGAAUUACUGGGCGUAAAGCGUGCGUAGGCGGUUCGCUAAGUCUGUCGUGAAAGCCCUGGGCUCAACCUGGGAAUUGCGAUGGAUACUGGCGAGCUAGAGUACGGUAGAGGAUGGUGGAAUUCCCGGUGUAGCGGUGAAAUGCGUAGAGAUCGGGAGGAACACCAAUGGCGAAGGCAGCUCGCUGGAACGGUACUGACGCUGAGGCGCGAAAGCGUGGGGAGCGAACAGG
rnacentral:rRNA from 1 species